CCUACGGGGGGCAGCAGUGGGGAAUAUUGCACAAUGGGGGAAACCCUGAUGCAGCGACGCCGCGUGAGUGAAGAAGUAUUUCGGUACGUAAAGCUCUAUCUGUAGGGAAGAAAAUGACGGUACGUGACUAAGAAGCUACGGCUAACUACGUGCCAGCAGCCGCGGUAAUACGGCGGGGGCAAGCGUUAUCCGGAUUUACUGGGUGUAAAGGGGGCGUAGACGGCAGGUCAAGUCUGAAGUGAAAUCCCAUGGCUUAACCAUGGAACUGCUUUGGAAACUGGGCAGCUUGAGUGCAGGAGAGGUAAGCGGAAUUCCUAGUGUAGCGGUGAAAUGCGUAGAUAUUAGGAGGAACACCAGUGGCGAAGGCGGCUUACUGGACUGUAACUGACGUUGAGGCUCGAAAGCGUGGGGAUCAAACAGGAUUAGAUACCCGUGUAGUC
rnacentral:rRNA from 1 species